CAGUUCCAAACAUAUUCAAUCUUUUAAAUCAUCACGAACUCCUUUCUCGUCUCGAUCUCUGUUCAACGUCUUGCUCUAACUGAUCCCGCACGAACGUGAAUGCAUGUCUGCUUGCUGUCCACAUCCAAUCGCACUCAGGUGAUCGUUUAGGGUUUGAAUCCAAUGCUCUCCCAAGUCUGAACUGCGCACACACCAGUCGCCCGCA
rnacentral:lncRNA from 1 species